UAAUUUUAGAUUUUCCCGUAGAUUGAUUGGACUGAAGUACUCGAUCUCAGGUUGACAUAUUGGCUCCUUUUGCAGAGAACUGUAGUGAUUCUGAUGUAUAAAUUGAUCGUAUAACCUGAUUAUAGUCGAGAAAGCCUAAUCGAAACAUCUAGCAGCUGGUUCCCUACGAAGUUUCCCUCAGGAUCGAUGGCAUUCUGAGAUUUAAACAGUUUUAUCCAGUAAAGCGAAUGAUUAGAUGCAUUAAAGGAGAAAACGUCCGCGAAACCUUUUCUUAAACUUUAAAUAGGUGAGAGGCUUAACUCGCUUAAAUGGAGUUCUGCAUUCAACAUGAGUGCUCAGUGGGCCAUUUUUUUGAUAAGCAAAACUGGCUCCGUGGGAUGCGCAUUCUGGACUCCACAGCUAGUCACCAUCCCACAGUUUUUGCUGAUUACAUUAUAAAGGACAAUUAAGCCGUCCAACACACAAACUGGAAUUAUCCAACUUAGUAAGCUCCGAAUCAUCCAGAC
rnacentral:ncRNA from 1 species